CGGGCAGCAGCGGGAGCAGGGACAAUAGCCGUCUGUCAUGAUGGCUGGACAACUCCCAGUAUUGACUCCCUCCCAUUCAGGGCUGGCCUCAAUGGGUCGGAAAUAAUGACUUCUUUUCCUCUCCUUCCUUCCUUCAGACACUUGAGCACAACUGAGAGACUCGGUGAGGUAAACGCCAGUCGUGUGGAAUCAUCAAUCACAGGAGAGGUGCACACGCGUGCACGUGCGUGGACCGUCGACUCAGUGAAAGCUCAAAUCGAGCAUGUAAAAGUGCAACAGAUAAUGCAACAACUGAAACUUGAUAAUGAAUAAUGAAAUGUUAAUGAAAAUACAUUCUGAAAUUCCAGGUUCUGCUUGUAUGGGGUUUCUCUGGGUACUCAGCUUUCCUCUCACAUUCUAAAAACAUGCAUGUUUGCUUCAUUAUCACUCGCUUCGAUUGUCCACAGGAAUGUCCGAAUGAGCGUGAACAUUGGGUGCCGACCAGUCUGGGGCGGACCCCAUCUCUCGCUAAAAGGGGGCUGGGAUAGUCUCCAGCUCUCCUGUGACCCUAAUGAGGACAAGCACUAAGAAAUUGUUGGAUGGAUCAUGACAAAGCACAUCUGACUCACUGUUCUGAGGACUUGGGUUCACAUUCCAGCCCCGCUUGUGUGGGAACCCAAGCACACGGAGAAUACCCACGCAGGGACGGGGAGAACAUCCAAAUGCCACACAGGCGGGGCCGGGAUUGAACUCGGGUCCUCAGAACUGUGAGGCCAACGCUGUACAGCUGCGUCACCGUGCCCGCUCAAGAAUAAAUAAAAUCGACAAUAUGUCACAAGGGCGAUAUUUAACAGUACACACUUUGGCGGUGCUGCAGGAAGUAAGUUAAGCGAGAAGAUAAUUCCUCUGACACUUUGUUAUGCAUUGUCAUUUCAUGUCUUUUUGCAGUGAAGGAAUGGAUGUUUGCUUUUUUUAAGGGUCCAAAUGGCUCCGUUAUGGUCCAGGUUUGUAUGGGAGAAAAAAAUUGUUUACUUGCGAGUGGUGAUUCUAUUUAGGCAUAUACUGUACUUAAAAAAAAAGCAUUUGGGCGGUGGUUCCCGACGCUGAAGCCGAAGUUCUUCUCAAACAUGCUGUUCUUCUUUCUUAGCCUGGGAACAGUUUGGAGGAGGGGGCUGACUUUUUUUUUUUUUUGCUUAUGAAUUCCUAUUCAGCCCCCCUGACAUAAACCCACUGCCCCGCAGAUUCCCACGUACCCUUUCCAGGAUGUAUCACAUCAGAUUUAGUUGAAAGGGGACUCUCGUUUUGCAUCUCACCCACAACGAACUUUUAGAGGCUCCUCCAUAAACAAUAUUUUUUCCCCAAGUUGCUUAUUUUUGUUUUUUUAAAUCUUUGUGGAAUCAAUGUUGCACUGCAUGUGCCACACCUUUUGCUCUCUGGCAACACUCAUAACUCACCGACCUUGGCUGAACAAUGCAUUUGGUUUAAGAACGCGCUCUCCCUUAACUCAUAAGUGGUGCGCUUUACUGCAGAGGAAACAAACGCAUCAGCACGCCUGCAUAAACUCCUUCGAAAACAACACAUCAUAUUUUUGUGUGCAGAGCUGCACAACACAAAGCCCAAACAACAUGACAUCAGAGGUGGGUCGGAGGGAGGAGGAUGUCCUAUCAGAGUUGGCCCCAUAUUUCCAUUAAAACACAAUGAGACAUUGUCCUUUUUGAAAACAUGA